rnacentral:rRNA from 1 species
UAGGGAAUCUUCGGCAAUGGACGGAANNUUGGAACCGAGCAACGCCGGCGUGAGUGAAGAAGGUUUUCGGAUCGUAAAGCUCUGUUGUAAGAGAAGAACGAGUGUGAGAGUGGAAAGUUCACACUGCGACGGUAUCUUACCAGAAAGGGACGGCUAACUACGUGCCAGCAGCCGCGGUAAUACGUAGGUCCCGAGCGUUGUCCGGAUUUAUUGGGCGUAAAGCGAGCGCAGGCGGUUAGAUAAGUCUGAAGUUAAAGGCUGUGGCUUAACCAUAGUAGGCUUUGGAAACUGUUUAACUUGAGUGCAAGAGGGGAGAGUGGAAUUCCAUGUGUAGCGGUGAAAUGCGUAGAUAUAUGGAGGAACACCGGUGGCGAAAGCGGCUCUCUGGCUUGUAACUGACGCUGAGGCUCGAAAGCGUGGGGAGCAAACAGGAUUAGAUACCCUGGUAGUCCACGCUGUAAACGAUGAGUGCUAGGUGUUAGACCCUUUCCGGGGUUUAGUGCCGUAGCUAACGCAUUAAGCACUCCGCCUGGGGAGUACGACCGCAAGNUUG